rnacentral:lncRNA from 1 species
CCGGAAUGUAAAUUAAACAUCCAAGUGUUAAAAAAAAAACCAAAAAGCUUACUAAGAUGACAGUUGGCUACAACCCAUUUACAGUAUCUUAGUGUUUGCUCCCAAACCCUGAACUGCUCUGCAAUUACAUCGUAAGAUCUAUGACAACCAUCUGCUCCCCUUUGUAGCGUAUGGUUAGGGCUGGUCCUCCUGAUGUAGGGACUUUUCUUUUGAAGCUUUAAGUAUCCACUAGAUUAUCAUUUGAAUAAUCCUCAGUUUGAACAGGGACUUCUG